rnacentral:rRNA from 1 species
AUUGAACGCUGGCGGCAGGCCUAACACAUGCAAGUCGAACGAGUGGCGGACGGGUGAGUAAUGUCUGGGAAACUGCCUGAUGGAUGGGGAUAACUACUGGAAACGGUAGCUAAUACCGCAUACCAUCAGAUGUGCCCAGAUGGGAUUAGCUAGUUGGUGGGGUAAAGGCUCACCAAGGCGACGGUCCCUAGCUGGUCUGAGAGGAGGACCAGCCACACUGGAACUGAGACACGGUCCAGACUCCUACGGGAGGCAGCAGUGGGGAAUAUUGCACAAUGGGCGAAAGCCUGAUGCAGCCAUGCCGCGUGUAUGAAGAAGGCCUUCGGGUUGUAAAGCACUUUUAGUGGGGAGGCGUUACCCGAAGAAGAAGCAACGGCUAACUCCGUGCCAGCAGCCGCGGUAAUUC